UAGAAGUUAUAUGGCCCUAUAGUUACUGCACUCUUGGGCAACUCCUUUGCACUGCAAUGUAUAUUGAACCUUGCGAAUCUUUGAGCCAUUGUUUUAUUUUCCUCUUUUUUUGCAUAUUCUUUUUAGGAUUUUGACAGAUUCAAUCUCUGUGACAUCAAGGAGUUCUGUUGGUGUUCCAUCUACCUCUGGUGAUUCUUUCUAGUGCUUUCAGAACAGUUUCACAUUCUAGAACUGCAGGUACUUUAAUCAUAGAUUAGUCUUCGGAGGAGUCCGUCAUCCUUUUUUCUCUUCUGUAUAGGUCUUCAGUAUACAAUUUCCUCUUACUCUUCUAUUUUCUCCUGGUCAGAUAAUGUGCUUUUCUUUGGCUAUUCAGUAUUCCUAAUCUAGGCUUAGAUUUCCGUUUGAUUUUGUGGAUUUCUACUGAUAGCACAGAUUCUUGGCCAUUCUUUAGGAUCAGCCAUUAUACCCUUCUGCCACAUGUGAUUGCCUUUGGAGGAACAUCUGAUGUUUUGGAAAAUUUGUGGAAAAAGAUAGCCCCAAGAUCUUCACCUGAAGCUGGAUUUUGUUGA
rnacentral:lncRNA from 1 species